UAUCCAUUAGGCUGAGCAAAUAUGUUCUCGUCCUGACUGUUUAAUUCAAUUUUGAUUGAUCCUUCCACACGCAAAGGGGAAAGUGAAAACAGGGCUUGCGACACAGACUUGCUGAAAUGCAACCCAUAAAAAAGAUAUCCAAGCCGCCGCUCACCUUGAUGCCCUCUCCGCGGUCUCCGAUGGUUCCCCGGCCUCCGCCUCCUUCCCGGCACACAGCCAUUCACACACAGACUUUCUCGUUCGAUGGCAGAUUGUAAUUUUUGGGCGCUAAUCACACGGCGGCUUUGGGAUGACAGGAAGGGUCAUCGAAUCUGCACCGUCUUCUCCUCAGAACUGCUGCUUUUCACUUUGAAGAUUGAUGUCAUUCGUC
rnacentral:lncRNA from 11 species